CGGCUUAGAGUUUGAUCCUGGCUCAGAAUGAACGCUGGCGGCGUGCCUAACACAUGCAAGUCGAGCGAGAAAGUUCCUUCGGGAGCGAGUACAGCGGCGAACGGUUGAGUAACACGUGAGAAUCUACCCUUUAGUGAAGAAUACCCUCGAGAAAUCGAGAUUAAUACUGCAUACGUCCCUUCGGGGAGAAAGAUGGCCUCUUUGCUAUCGCUAAAGGAUGAGCUUGCGGCCUAUCAGCUAGUUGGUGAGGUAAUAGCUCACCAAGGCUAUGACGGGUAACUGACCCGAGAGGGUGAUCAGUCAGAUUGGAACUUAGACACGGUCCAGACUCCUACGGGAGGCAGCAGUGGGGAAUCUUGCGCAAUGGGCGAAAGCCUGACGCAGCGACGCCACGUGGAGGAUGAAGGUCUUAGGAUUGUAAACUUCUGUUAAGUGGGAAGAAAUCCCUCAUA
rnacentral:rRNA from 1 species